rnacentral:rRNA from 1 species
AACGAACGCUGGCGGCAGGCUUAACACACGCAAGUCGAACGCCCCGCAAGGGGAGUGGCAGACGGGUGAGUAACGCGUGGGAAUCUACCCAGUUCUACGGAACAACUGAGGGAAACUUCAGAUAAUACCGUAUACGCCCUACGGGGGAAAGAUUUAUCGGAAUUGGAUGAGCCCGCGUUGGAUUAGCUAGUUGGUGAGGUAACGGCUCACCAAGGCGACGAUCCAUAGCUGGUCCGAGAGGAUGAUCAGCCACACUGGGACUGAGACACGGCCCAGACUCCUACGGGAGGCAGCAGUGGGGAAUAUUGGACAAUGGGCGCAAGCCUGAUCCAGCCAUGCCGCGUGAGUGAUGAAGGCCUUAGGGUUGUAAAGCUCUUUCAGUGGGGACGAUAAUGACGGUACCCACAGAAGAAGCCCCGGCUAACUUCGUGCCAGCCGCCGCCGUAAGAC